AUUGAACGCUGGCGGCAGGCUUAACACAUGCAAGUCGAGCGAGCGGCGGACGGGUGAGUAAUGUCUGGGAAACUGCCUGAUGGAGGGUGAUUAUUACUGGAAACGGUAGCUAAUACCGCAUACCAUCAGAUGUUACCAGAUGGGAUUAGCUAGUAGGUGGGGUAAUGGCUCACCUAGGCGACGAUCCCUAGCUGGUCUGAGAGGAUGACCAGCCGCACUGGAACAGAGGCACGGAGCAAACUCCUACGGGAGGCAGCAGGGGGGAAUAGUGCACAAUGGGCGCAAGCCUGAUGCAGCGAUGCAGCGUGUGUGAAGGAGGCAUUAGGGUUGUAGGGCAGUAUCAGCGAGGAGGCGUUACUCGCAGAAGAAGCACCGGCUAACUCCGUGCCAGCAGCCGCGGUAAUUC
rnacentral:rRNA from 1 species